GGGGGGGGGGGGGGGGGCUAGUAGCGGCGUAGCCAAGUGGGGCACGCCGGGCACUUGUAACGCUCACUAACAGUAAAUUUUUUGCUACUAUGGCAAUGGCCCCGCUCCUUCCCCCUCCACGGUCAAUUGGGACCCCACUCCCCCUCACACGAAAAAAAAUUUUCUGGCUACACCACUGUGGGGAGGGGGGUGUAAGAUUGCUCCAGACCCCUCCCCCUAACUUGUCAACGGAAACGGGGGAGGGUUGGGCCGCUGCCACCGGGCCGCAAGCCUUAGGCAGCCCAAUUACCGGCUGCAUUGCCCUUUGGACGUGAAUACUGCUCUAAUGUCAUUACACUGUAGGAUUCGUGGCGGUUCGAGGGCCCCCAUGCGACAAUAAAAAAAAAACACAUACAGCCAUCAGCAAAUCUUAGCUUGAGCAGAUCUUUGGGAGCUGGGCAAGACUCUCAUAAAAAAAAAGAAAGCUUGGCACCCCUCUUACAUGCAUUGUCAACUCUGGGUAACCGCUGACUGCACAUUUCCGGUAAAAAAAAUCACACAGGAACUCCUCUCGGAUUUGUCUAAGUAUGCGUAAGCAUUAUGACUCUUCCUCAUCCACACGCAGUCCAUGUCGUUAUCAGUGUUAUGAGACUUGAUCCGACGAGUAUAAGCGACAGCGCUGCGGCGACACGAGCUGCUGUGGUCGGCGGCGCCAAGUGAACGGCGCAAGCAAAGUACUGCAGGUGGCGGGGCCAGGUGCGCUGUGACGUUACGUUCGUUUUGAGCCGUUAUCGCUCUUUAGCACUUCUCAACCGCGUCGAACCAUUAUCAACCGUUCUCCGGCCGCGGCGGCUGCUUGUGGCACGGCCGCGCGAACCGUAUCUCGAAAGCGAACUGCAAUUUGGACAGAGUGUGCCCACUGCUGAAAACUUCACGCGCUGUGUUCUCACCGUUUACUUCGCUUUGAAAACAGACGCGCGUACACCUAUCUUGAAAGUGAUCUGCGAAAAGAGCAUAGUGCGGCAUAAGCUGAGAGCUUCGUGAGCGCUGUGUUCUCGCCGCUUCAGUCGCGUUGAAGCGAGAGCUAGCACGAAGGUGAAUUCACUCGCUGCUGCGGGUUCUAUUUUGAAAGGUAUCGUGCGGUACGGACUGACGGACGGAUGGUUUUUAUUUGUGGGUAACUAUAGAAAUGCUUACGUUAUAAAAAAAAAAUCGCAGGGUUCGCGGAUGUCGCGAUAACAACCAACUCCGUCUUGAUCGCCCCCUCCCCACCCCGGGAAAAGGGACACUACGCCUCUACCUCAGUUGAAGAAACGAUGAUGAAACGUUAACGACAAGAACGGCAUUUUCUAACGCGUUGUCUUAUGGCCUCCGAGAUUUGCGCGCAAAGCUGGCGCGCGCGAACCUGGGGGGCCAUAAUUGGCUGCUUAAUAGCAUUAAAGGACAAAAAGAUAAUACCAAACGACACAGUAAAAAUGCAAACAAAGAACUGAUCUUCGCUAUACUGUUUGGGGAAAAGAAAUAAAAAAUUAGACAGCCGCAACACACGCCACUAAAGCCACCACCGCCGGCAUAACGCGGAACCAACAGUUGGCAACAUUCAUUCGCGCUUCAUUGUCCGCUUCGUCUCCGCAACGAGAGCCGCCAUCCUUUCGCGCCGGCCGUUUUGUCAUAGUUUUGUUUUUCUGCAAGUCCGCGCACGCAGCUCCUCGAUGGAUGCACGGGUGCACGGCGUCGCAUUGCGACCUGCGGCAUUUUCUCGUGUUCGCGCAAUCGGUGUGAAACAUGUCGCAUGUGAAAUAUUUGAUAGAAGUGCCUCACGUCCAAGUCAAGCCGCCGUUCGGGUGUAUGGCUGUGUGCCCCGUUCUCGGAAGCGUCGACGGGUUUCCGGCAUGCGGAUUUCAGCGUUUGGACUCGACUUUUGGUGAGGAUGUCGAUCGACCUUGGGCCUGGUGACAGCACACCCGACAUGGCCUAAGUGCAGCCUAUCAGUUGAGUGCCCCCGAAUGGACCAUCAACACCGGAAAAUGAAACAGAGCCAGGGGGAAAAGGUUCCGGUAACACCAUGCAUUCAGUAUGGUGGCCCAGACGUGUAUGCAAGCAAUCUCCUUCAUGUGGACCAAGAACUACUCUGCAGUGUCUCGCAGACUUCCAUGCGAAGUCCUCAACAUUCUCGUCUCAGUGGAAUGGCUGCUCAUCUAUCUGCGUGUCCAUCACCAAGACGGCCAGUUGUAAAGCUCCUGUACCCGUUUAAGAAAGCUUAAUGAUUUUUUUAUUUAGUCUUCACGGUUGGCCGUAGAAUCUUAACAUUUUUUAUGUUUAUAACAUUUUUACCUGGCAGAAAGUGGUGCAAUAACUUUAAACCAGUGCAAUGUAUUUAAGUGAUGCUCACUCUAAUGCCUAUCUGGUUUUGUUAGUUUUUGAGAAAUUUGUAUGUCUGAUGAGGUAACAGCAUUUGAAUUUGUCAUCGUGGCUCGUUUCAAUGAGCUGCUAGGAAAAAAAGUCGCAAAACUUAUCACACGCCAGUUGUAGCAUUUUUGUUUUCAUGACUAUAGUAUACACGUUUCAAAAGAUGGAAAGUGGGGAAAAAAACCUGAAGAACAUAAUCAUCCUAGGAUUGUCAUGUCCUUACAACUCUGCAAUGAUAAUGCCUCAUACAUCUUGGGAGCACAUUGGUCACAAUGCCUACAGGUAUACUUGAUAAGAGAAUAGCUUGCACCCAGAUUUGCCACACAGUUGAUGGCUGAUGGCUUUUGUUCGUUGUCUUCAUGUUACUACUAUGUAUUCAAUAUUCAUUUAGAUGUAAAGGACACUAGAGGCACUGAAGUACCAAAUGGCACUUGCAUUUCAGGGGACAAAGUGCCCAGCAUGCCUGUCACAAAACGUGUUCUAGGGGCUACCUUGCCUCUAUAGGUAAAUGGGUACCAGAUGCUCUGUGUACAGUGUAAUCGGUGUACUUGUCUGGAGUGCUUGAAAGAUGUGCUACAGGCUGUACUGGCACUGUCUGAAGAUAAUGCAUGGUUCUAGAAAGCCUGCAGCUGAGCAUCUGCCACCAUACUGAAGGAACUGUCCUAAUUUUGUUGAUGUUGAAAUGUAGGAGCUGCAAUGAAUAGUUGUGAAUGUGGCAGUGCUGCCAAACUAAAGCACAAAUUACACACCUCGACUCACACAAUGCACUCUGAAAGUUUUGCUACGUGGUAUCUGUGUUUGCUGCCUGACCUUAUGGCACCUUUACGAGCAAUCGCAGGUGAUUGCAGCUGCUGAGGCUUUAUCAACUGGCAAGUUGAAAAAAUAAUGCUGUGCCACCAGUGUGGCUGCACAUUCCGAGAUGCAAGCUAUCUUGAACCAGGUGUUCAGUAGACAGUACCUGUGCAGCCAAAACAUGGUGUUUGAGCCCUAUAGGCAACUACGUUCACAACUGCCCACAAGUGUGCUGUCGGAACAGAAAGUUGAGAAAAAGCAGCAUUUUUACCAGGGUUCAAACAUUAGUGCAAGUCAUUCUUUCACCAAGGCUGGUAAUCAUGCAUAUGUAAUGAGAACAGGGCAUUUGUUACACACAAGGGGUCAUGUGUCAAGUUUAAUUAGAUCAGUAAUCUAUGAGAUGGAAUUAUAAAAAGUGUACCUUUCGUUCCUCAGUGAUCUCUUGGAGAGAUGACCAUUUCCGGCAGUUUAGUUUUGCCUUAUGUCUAGAUUUGGUGUGCAUAUUGCAACUAUAACUAACAGUCAGUGCUCUGUCCUGCCCAGUUUUUAUGCUGCUUUUGUGAUAUUUGCAAUAUUUUGCAGUUCAGCUGCAAAAUAUUGUCUAUAGUAUUAUAUAUUGUCUAUGCAAGUAUAUGUCUUUACUAUUACUAGUUUUCAUGUUCAACUUUUGUGCAGUGCUCACUAGUUAUUACUAGCCAUGUUCUGUUCACACAUACUCUUGGAUUGUUGCGCGAAGUGACACGGACACAGACUACAAGCAGACA